rnacentral:rRNA from 1 species
UGGGGAAUAUUGCACAAUGGAGGGAACUCUGAUGCAGCGACGCCGCGUGAGUGAUGAAGGAAUUCGUUUCGUAAAACUCUGUUCUAUGGGAAGAAAAGGACUGUACCAUAGGAGAAAGCUCCGGCUAAAUACGUGCCAGCAGCCGCGGUAAUACGUAUGGAGCGAGCGUUGUCUGGAAUUAUUGGGCGUAAAGGGUGCGCAGGCGGCUUUACAAGUUGGGUGUGAAAUAUUGUGGCUCAACCACAAACGUGCAUCCAAGACUGCAAAGCUUGAGUUAAGGAGAGGUAAGUGGAAUUCCUGGUGUAGCGGUGAAAUGCGUAGAUAUCAGGAGGAAUACCGGUGGCGAAGGCGACUUACUGGACUUAAACUGACGCUCAGGCACGAAAGCGUGGGGAGCAAACAGG